rnacentral:rRNA from 1 species
GUCAAUGGGCGCAAGCCUGAGCCAGCCAAGUCGCGUGAGGGAAGACGGCCCCACGGGUUGUAAACCUCUUUUGCCGGGGAGCAAGCCUGAGUACGUGUGCCCAGGCGGAGAGUACCCGGAGAAAAAGCAUCGGCUAACUCCGUGCCAGCAGCCGCGGUAAUACGGAGGAUGCGAGCGUUAUCCGGAUUCAUUGGGUUUAAAGGGUGCGCAGGCGGGCUGUUAAGCCGGCGGUAAAAAUUCAGGGCUCAACCCUGUCGAGCCGUCGGAACUGGCAGUCUUGAGUGGGCGAGAAGUAUGCGGAAUGCGUGGUGUAGCGGUGAAAUGCAUAGAUAUCACGCAGAACGCCGAUUGCGAAGGCAGCAUACCGGCGCCCAACUGACGCUGAGGCACGAAAGCGUGGGGAUCGAACAGGAUUAGAUACCCUGGUAGUCCACGCAGUAAACGAU